rnacentral:lncRNA from 1 species
GUUCCUCCCCAUAAAAGAGUUGCUAAGGAGGCUUCCUGUAUGUGGAUUUGGGGUUGUGUUCCUCCCCAUAAAAGAGUUGCUAAGGAGGCUUCUUGUGUGUGGAUUUGGGGUUGUGUUCCUCCCCAUAAAAGAGUUGCUAAGGAGGCUUCCUGUGUGUGGAUUUGGGGUUGUGUUCCUCCCCUUUCCCAUAGGCCAGGGGCUCAAGGAGACUGUGGAUUUAUUUAUUUAUUAUUUAUUUGCGACAUUUAUAUCCCGCCCUUCUCACCCCGAAAGGGACUCAGGGCGGUUUACAAGUAUAUAUACAUACAGUAUAUUAUAUUUACGACUAUAUUGCAAUAUUAUUAGUAAUAUUGCAUGUAAUAAAAAUAUACAAUGAUAAUAGUGAAUUAUAAUUAUUAUUACAUUGUAUUACAUCAUAAUAUUAUUUUUAAUAUUACAUGUAUAUACGAUAUAGUAUAAUAUUAGCAUAGUAUAAUAUUAUUAUAUAUUAUUAUAUCAUUAAAUACAUAUAGGAGACAUGGUGGAAAGAUGUCUUCCUGGCCCCAUCUUCUUUAUUCAUUUGGGGUUGUGUUCCUCUCCUUCCCCAUAGGCCAUAGGUUCAGGGGGAAUGUGGAUGAGGGGUUGUUUUUCUCCAUGAACUAGUGGUUAAGGAGGCUUCCUGCGUGUGUAUUUGGGGUUCUGUUCUUCUCUUUCCCCAUAGGCCA